UUCAUAAAUAAUUUCCUUUCAAUAUUCAUUCUGAAUUGUGUUGUAUUCAAAGGUGACAUGACUCUGCUUUGCACAACGUAUCAGCGUCUUCUUGAUACUUUUGAAGUUUUUGAACAAUAUAAAUCCGUGUGCAUAAAAUCGGACUAAACAUUGAGUAUCACUGCUCUAUUGGGACCGCAUUCCCGGCCUCGCCAACACAGCGUUUGAAGACUGCAUUUGGAGCGGCGAUCCACCGAUUCCGAUUCCCAGACCGCUGCCACAUUCUCGGCGAUGCUUGUGUUCCUCACGAGACACGCAAGUAGAACACUGGGAUUGGCCAAGGACACGUGUGUACGUGUGUGAUUGUCACGUGCGAGAUUUUCAUGAGCAAUAAUCACAAUAAUUCACGACAAGGAACACUGGUAUAGUGCGAGCACCUGACUUUAUAAUGCUGCCGAGUCCUGGGCCUCCGUCCCUGCACCGAGUCAUUAAGUCCAAGAAGCUUAAUAGGAACUGAUCUAAUAUGCACUUCCGGUUCUCCAGUGAAAUUCAGCCUGGAAUUUAAA